AAAGUAACGAAUAAUAACGCUUACAUAACGUCACUUUUAACACCGGUUGCCAUGACAUUAUAUGAAACCCAUCCGAAAUUUGAUAUGCAGGGGACUUGGCCCGAGUACAAAAUCAAAAUUGCCAAAGAUAAGAAACCAAAAAAACGUGAACGUUUGUUGCGAAAAAAGUCCUCGCAUAAGUCGAAAAAGAUUAGACACGUAAAAACGCACAAGUUGUAAUAAACCUGCAGUAGACUUGUAGCAAUGCUGUUCCAACAACUUGUCAACAGGAUGUGUUCGCACUGCUUGUUCCCAGCUUGUUGACAACUUGCUACAAGGUUGUUGAGCUCAACAGACUUGUUACAAGUUGUUCCAACAAUUUGUUAUCGUCCUGCGAUUCAACAAUUUGUCAACAAUUUGUGAGUGACAAUCUUGUAGCAACUUGAUGAAAUAACAGCAUUGUUACAAGUUGUUGGCAAGCUUGCUACAAACAUCUGUUGCGAACACAUCUUGUUGAAAAGUUGUGAGACUUUUACGAGUAGUGUGGAAAAGCUACGAUACGAAUGUUCAACAGGCAACAGGAUAUGCUCGGGAAACCGUUUAAGUAGGUUCUUUUCAUUUUAAACUGGUUUACACCACAGUGUUUUUGUUAUAUAUACGAAAUACAAUUGUUGCACGACUGUUGUUGAUUUUUCUUUCGUCGAGACAUUCCAGACAAACGGGUCAAUCUGUGGACGGCAAAUGAAUAUGGUAUUUUGACGAGUUUGAUUUCAACAUGCUGACGUUACGAACACGAGCCCGUAGUCCCACUUCUUUUCUGCACAGCGGACAUUCCGAACAGUCUUCACUGGAAACUUCAUGUAAUCCUACAUUAUCUCUUUUCUGGUGAACCACCUCGUUCAACUUACACGAAGUAAUCUCAGGAAAAUCUGCUGACGAUGGGAUUGCUUGAUCCCUCUCGAUGAUUGGAUGGGAUUUCCCGCCAAAACUGAAAAGCCCGUUGCGGAUAUUGUACGCGUCAAUUAGGGACCGUUCAUUAUUUACACCCGGGGUUGGUACCGAAGAGAUAUGGGUUGGGUAAUCAAGUUUUUGAGUAGCUCAUGGGUUGGGUAAAAAAAUUUGUGGCUGUCUGUCAGCUAUAAAAUAAAACCGAAAUUACCAUGCAUUGGAAAAUAUGAAGAAAAAUGUGCACAAUACAUUCUGUACCAAAGUAGACUAUCAGUGAUUGAGGAAGGACUCUAUUAUUGAUCAGCAGGAACGUGGUUCCAUUGACACACUCAGUGAGUUUGAGUCUGAGUGAGCUUUUAAAAUUUAGGCAACUUGAUUUCUGUCACCACAUAAUCUUGUGUGUUUAAUUAUUAAGUACAGUAACACAUGGGUUGGGUAAACAUUAUUUUGACCAAUGUUGAGGUUGGGUAAAUAAAAAAAUUACAGUGUUUUUCGCUUCUCUUCGCUACCAACCCCAGGUAUAAAUAAUGAACGGUCCCUUAGUGCAGGAAACCGGUUUUUCCGGAGCCAGGAAACCGGUUUUACACGCUUAGUAAUUACGUCAUUCUUCACAGGUUCCGAACAUUUACUUUCAGUCGGAUUGUCCGUAAAUAAAUCCAAAUAUGGCAAACUAGGUCCAGGCUCUUCGCGGGGACUAGGCCACUGGUUUCCAGUCUUCAGGCAUUGCUCGCCAAAGGUCGGGCGAAUUCGAUACCCAAGGGGUUUAAAACCCGCGCAAUUUUUACUGGCCAGGGGCCAUGUUCGGGUAUUAUAUGAAGUGACGUUUUUCUUGAAAUUACUAAUACAGGCAGCCAUAUCUUUCGUGGAAUAAUUAUUGUAGGAAGCCAUGCUUUUCGUGGAAUAUUUUAUGAAGUUUUUAGAACUUAAGCUCGGCGGAUUAAAAUGCUUUAAUGUGGGAGUAUUAAUAUUGUAUGAAUUUGGUAAAAUGUUUGAAGAAAUAGGAAUAUUUAAAUCCAUAAUAUUUGACGUGGGCAAUUUAUUUAAGAUGGGUAAAGUUGUCACAGCAAUACUUCUCGAUAGUUUCAACAUUGAAUCGCAUUCUUUCUUGUCUUUUGGGCAAGUUUGUAUGUGGGACAAGGAAGAGACAAUUUGGGACGUUUCAGUUUUGGAUUCAUUUUGCGGUGAUGGAAUCUCUUUCGAAAUUUCAUUGGAGACCAACAUGAUUUGGUCAUAUCAUUUACCUCAAUGCUCCAAUGGAUAUGCA